UACGGGGGGAGCAAGCGUUGUUCGGAUUUACUGGGCGUAAAGGGCGCGUAGGCGGUCGUGACAAGUCACUUGUGAAAUCUCCGGGCUUAACUCGGAACGGUCAAGUGAUACUGUCGGACUAGAGUACAGAAGGGGCAACUGGAAUUCUCGGUGUAGCGGUGAAAUGCGCAGAUAUCAGGAGGAACACCGGUGGCGAAGGCGGGUUGCUGGGCUGACACUGACGCUGAAGCGCGAAAGCUAGGGGAGCGAACGGG
rnacentral:rRNA from 1 species